rnacentral:rRNA from 1 species
AUGGAGUCCGACGACCACGGACGUGUAGCUCGCAGGCAUGAGAUGUGGUUCAGUGCUCCUGUGGGUGUAGUUCAUGAGCGCGUCGGCGACGAUGGCAUCAACGCAGUGCACUCCGGUAGUUGCCGUGGUGCACUCUGGUGGCCGUUGUGGUACAGCUCAGUGGCUGGCCAGGUGAGCUUGGUGACGCGACAGGUGCAGUCAGCUGAGCAGACACUCUUCUCCAAGCGAGAAGAGGAGGGCGAUCUUGGUUCCUGUCCACGUGCAGUUUCAGGCGAUGCGCCCAUGCGGUCGCAUAGUGGCGUGUGUGAUGCAGUUUUGCGUCUCCUCUCGGGUGGACACAUAGCUGCACCCCAGAUCGCCCAGUACUGCAACCCCUUCCUUCCUUUACUUAUUUUUUGCAGGAAAGAAAGUGGUGCAUUUCGGUUGGAUGUCCCGUUGGAGUUUGACCUUGUGCCAUUUCAGAUUAUACUGUGUAGUGCGACAUGA